GAUGAACGCUGGCGGCGUGCCUAAUUCAUGCCAGUCGAGCGAACAGACGAGGAGCUUGCUCCUCUGACGUUAGCGGCGGACGGGUGAGUAACACGUGGAUAACCUACCUAUAAGACUGGGAUAACUUCGGGAAACCGGAGCUAAUACCGGAUAAUAUAUUGAACCGCAUGGUUCAAUAGUGAAAGACGGUUUUGCUGUCACUUAUAGAUGGAUCCGCGCCGCAUUAGCUAGUUGGUAAGGUAACGGCUUACCAAGGCAACGAUGCGUAGCCGACCUGAGAGGGUGAUCGGCCACACUGGAACUGAGACACGGUCCAGACUCCUACGGGAGGCAGCAGUAGGGAAUCUUCCGCAAUGGGCGAAAGCCUGACGGAGCAACGCCGCGUGAGUGAUGAAGGUCUUCGGAUCGUAAAACUCUGUUAUUAGGGAAGAACAAAUGUGUAAGUAACUAUGCACGUCUUGACGGUACCUAAUCAGAAAGCCACGGCUAACUACGUG
rnacentral:rRNA from 1 species